GGGCUUGUGGUUUAGUGGUAUAAUACAUCCUUAGCAGCAUUAGUCUGUCGGUUCUCGGAACCUUCAAACCAACGUCUGGAUGGGGUCCUGGGUUCGAUUCCCAGCAAGUCCA